GAAGAAGAAGUUGUGAUGGCUUCCUCUAUGCUCUCCUCUGCCGCUGUGGUUACCUCCCCAGCUCAAGCCACCAUGGUCGCUCCAUUCACCGGCUUGAAGUCAUCCGCUACUUUCCCCGUCACCCGCAAGGCCAACAACGACAUUACUUCUAUCUCAAGCAACGGCGGAAGAGUUAGCUGCAUGAAGGUAAUGUCCUAUAAAAACUGUAUUUUGUCAUGUGUAAUUAGUGAAAUUGAACAAAACUUAGAAUAAUUGGAAUUGGGAGUUAUAGGUGUGGCCACCAAUUGGAAAGAAGAAGUUUGAGACUCUAUCUUACCUCCCUGACCUUACUGACGUCGAAUUGGCUAAGGAAGUUGACUACCUUCUCCGCAACAAGUGGAUUCCUUGUGUUGAAUUCGAGUUAGAGGUAAUAAACACUGGACCUUUCGUUUGUCUCUAAUCAUUAUAUAUUAUUUUCUUACAUAGCUAAAAACCAAAGUCAAUAAGCUUAUUUUCGUUUGUCUCUAAUCAUUGUUCAUUGAAUGGAUUUCGUAUUCAUUUAUAGCAUGGAUUUGUGUACCGUGAGCAUGGAAACACACCUGGAUACUACGAUGGACGGUACUGGACAAUGUGGAAGCUUCCAUUGUUCGGAUGCACCGACUCCGCUCAAGUGUUGAAGGAAGUGCAAGAGUGCAAGAAGGAGUACCCUAACGCCUUCAUUAGGAUCAUCGGAUUUGACAACAACCGUCAAGUCCAGUGCAUCAGUUUCAUUGCCUACAAGCCCCCAAGCUUCACUGAUUCUUAAUUAAAUCCUUUCUGGAAUAUUCAAUGUUGACUAUCCGGAACAAUUUUGUAUGGUCAAUGUAAAUUUAAGUAACUAUUAUCUAGCCAACUUAAACGUUGAGCAAUUGUUUUGCGAAAAGUGAAAAAGUUGAAGGUUUAUUUUCUAUCAUUUCCUCUAUAAUUAUAUCUAUUCAUAUCAUUUCAUUUUUGAUCUUAUCACUUUGAACUCUUUCAUCUUCGAUUUAGCUCUUUUAAGCAACAUUUUAUUUCCUUUACAUUUCCCUCCUAAUUUUUGCUUUUGAUUCUCUAGACUAACCUAUAAUAGAAGAGAGACCUUUUUAGAUACCUUUUUGGAAAAACUUUGCACAUGAAAUCAUAACAAAGAUGCCUCAAUAAAUCAAAUCUCGAAAGGGCCAGUACCUUGUGACUUAGAUGGAUGGGCUAGGACGAUCUCGCUUUCGAAAAAAAGAUUUAUUUGAUUUUGCUGUGGGUGGAGCAAUGUUGACUACCUCCGCACUAUUUUCUUGAACGGUUUUGGCUAUUUUGUACCUUGUACGCGCUUCUGCUCACGGGAAAUUUGUGAGCUUUAAGUUGGUAUUGUGGAUCCAUGACCAUAGCUUCUUCCUGUGGCCUUAGGGAGAGUUCUUGCCUCGGUUCCACACCGUCCAUUGAAGUGUGCUAUGAAAAUUCCCCACAAUCUGUCAUGUCUUCCAUGCUUAAGUUGACAUGGUGGAAAUCAUCUUGAGGUGCCACAUUUUAAGUGGGCCGUACGUGCAAUGGUGUGGUGCUCCGAAAGGAACGGUAGCAUGGGUUCCUAUAGCAUUGGAUCGUUUUCUAAACAAUAUGCAUUAUGUGUUUAUAAAUUUUAGUAAUUGUACAUACAUGUCCCAGUUUAAAAACAGAUUAACAUACAUUAUAAUUUUAAGGGCUGCCUAUAGCGUUACACCUAUACUAUAGCGUUUCAACUCCUAUCCACCUGUACUUUCGACCUCUGCCCAAUUCACCUUAUACUUGUUUUAAACUUCCUAAUUCCACCUAAACUAUUAAAUUCUCCAUAAUUAACCAAAAUCAAGAACUCUCUAUAAUUGCGAUUAAAAAUCGUUCAAAUCGCGUUUACUGUAGGCCAACCCGAGUCAGAUCCGACCAGCUUCGAAGACUUCUUUCACCAUAAGGGUUUGACUCGUGUUCAUUUGUUUUGUCGGGUCAACCUCGGAUUAAUAUAAACACAUAUUUUUUUACUGCAAUUUGAACUAUUUUUAAUCGUAAUUAUAGAGAGUUGGGCAGAUGUCGAAAGUACAUGUGGAUAGGAGUUGAAACGAUAUAUAUAGUAUAGUUGUAACGCUAUAGGCAGCCCUAAUUUUAAUAAGAAUGAUAUAAACUCAACUAAACUUCCUCUUCUUAGUUUGAAACUUUGCAUGACCAUUAACUCUCUUAUACUGCAUAAGACAUAAUUAGUGACAUAUUUUUUUCUUUCUAUUAUCAAUAUUUUCGUUAGCAUGUACUCGUUGUAAGAUGAAUAGAGAAAUAAUUGAAUUAUGAAAUAACGAAAUCAAUGUAUAUAUAUAUAAAACAAAAACAAUUUUACGCUGAACAAUUUUUUUUUAAAAAAAGGCAAAAAAAUUGCUUGUUUCAUAUUAUAGGAUGUUUUGGACCUUUUUUUUUGUUUCACAAUAUAUAAUGCUUUGAAGAAAAAAUACAAGUUUCUAUGUAAAACAUUAAAUUUAAUAGAUUAUUGACUAUUUACAUUAUGCAGUAAAUUAUAUCACUGAUUAAAUUAUUUUUAAUAGAUAUUAAUUUUUGUUUUAAUGUUAAAAACUCAAGAUUAGUUAAUUUCUUAAACUUUGUGCUUUCAUCUUUUUUUUUAUCUUUUUUUUUUGUCAUCCGAAAUUAAUUAUACCUCAAAAGAGAGAGUAUUAUUUGAAACAAAGAGAGUAUUAUUUAGCAGAUAAAUGACUUUUAUCUGAUUUAAUUAUAAUUUUAAAAUGUGCGGGAUGAAUUAAAAGAUCAUUUAUCAUUUUUCACGUUUUGUUUUUUUCCAGUUAGGUUUUUGUGAAUGGUUUUUACUCAGCGUAAUCAUGUUUUAAGAACAAGAACGUGAGAAAGUUAACAAAAUACCGUUGCAAGACUUUAUUUUUGUUUUACACAAAAUGUAGUUUUAUAUUUUCAAAGUAGUUUUUUUUAAUAGAAUUUACUUAUAUUCUUUUUAGUUAAGAUAAUCAAAUGGGAAAAUAAAAAUAUUAAUGUGUUAAUACAAGAUAAUAGAAAUUUAAUCAUUUUAAUAUAUAUGUAAAAAGUAUUCAACCGAUAUUUACAAUUAGACAGAACUAAGAAGUAUUAAAUUUCUCACCUCACCUCCCAAAAGAAAGGAGCCAAAAGCAACCGAUCAAGUGGAGACCAGUACUAGCCAUACACAUUCACUCGUUCCCUUACAAGAGAAAGAUAAGAUUAUGGAGUUUUCUGCCACUUGGUCUUAUCCUAGUGGUCCGAAUUGAUAAGGGUUUCAACACCUUUCCUUAAUCCUGUGGCAAUUAACGACGUUAUCAUGAAUUAUGGCCACUUUGAUCAUUAGGGCUUUUUGCCUUGCAGUUCUCACUAUAUAAAGAUGACCAAAUCAAUCGACAAACAAGUAAAAGAAACAACAAGAAGUAGUGAUGGCUUCAUCUAUGCUCUCCUCUGCCGCUAUGGUUACCUCCCCAGCUCAAGCCACCAUGGUCGCUCCAUUCACCGGCUUGAAGUCAUCCGCUGCUUUCCCGGUCACCCGCAAGGCCAACAACGACAUUACUUCUAUCUCAAGCAACGGCGGAAGAGUUAGCUGCAUGAAGGUAAUGUCCUAUAAAAACUGUAUUUUGUCAUGUGUAAUUAGUGAAAUUGAACAAAACUUAGAAUAAUUGGAAUUGGGAGUUAUAGGUGUGGCCACCAAUUGGAAAGAAGAAGUUUGAGACUCUAUCUUACCUCCCUGACCUUACUGACGUCGAAUUGGCUAAGGAAGUUGACUACCUUCUCCGCAACAAGUGGAUUCCUUGUGUUGAAUUCGAGUUAGAGGUACUAAACACCGAACUUUUCCUUUGUCUCUAAUCAUCCUUUAUUAUUUCUGUUCAUUGGUAGAAACAUAAGUCAAUAACCGGAUUUUAAAACCCGAAAUAGACUAUAACCGUGUGACUCCUCGACUAUCAAUGGUAUUGAAUGGUUUUGUCAUCUGUUUAUAGCACGGAUUUGUGUACCGUGAGCACGGAAACACUCCCGGAUACUACGAUGGACGGUACUGGACAAUGUGGAAGCUUCCAUUGUUCGGAUGCACCGAUUCUGCUCAAGUGUUGAAGGAAGUGCAAGAAUGCAAGAAGGAGUACCCUAAUGCCUUCAUUAGGAUCAUCGGAUUCGACAACAACCGUCAAGUCCAAUGCAUCAGUUUCAUUGCCUACAAGCCCCCAAGCUUCACCGAUGCUUAAUUCCCUUUCUGGAAUGUUCAACGUUGACUAGUAUUUCGGAAUCCAAUUCUAUGUGGUCAAUGCAAAUUUAAGAAAUUAAUUAGCCGACUUAAAAGUUGAGGAAUUAUUGUGUGAAAGUGAAAAAUUUGAAGGUUUUUUCUAUCAAUUUCCUUAUAAUUAUAUUUACUCAUUUGAUUUCAUUUUUUUUCUUCUAGCUCUUUGAGCUCUAUUUUUCGUUUAGCUCCUUUUGACAACAUUCCGGUUCAUUUAAAUUCUCCUCAUUAUUCUUGCUUUUGAGAAAUUGGCUACAUUGUUUCGAGAAAUUUUGCACAUGAAAGCAUAACAAAGAUGCCUCAAUUUAUCAAACCUCGAUGAUUUAGAACAAAAGAUUAUUUAAGGGGGUGUAACCUUUUAAGAUGAAAUAGCCAUUGGAGAUAGCAAAAGGUAGUAAAAGACGUAUACACUAUAAACAAAAUCCAAAUGUAUGCUUUUAAAAUUAUAAACAUGUAUUCCAAACGCCUAAGUGGAAUAUUCAGUUUAAUUCAAGUCCAAGAAAUGGCAUUAUAUAAAGCAAGGAUCGACAAAGACUGAAAUUUGUCUAGCAUGAAGUUACUAAAUUUUGGAAAUUGUGUUCACGUUAAAAGCUGAAACUUAACAGUUAUUUAUAAGGAAAAGCAGUUAAUGUUCCCAAAAAGUUCUAAAUGAAACUAGAAACCAAAUGAUAAAGAAAACGUAGCAUCUACAUGUUUGGUUUUAGUUUUUUUUUUUUUGACAAAAAUAUUCAAAUGUUUUUAGAUUCUUCUAUGCAAACGAUAUAUAGAAAAUAUAUACAUGAUUCAAAUAUAAUACAAAUAAAAAUAAUUAUUGAAAUUACCGAACAUUUUUUUGCAUCUCCCUGAUUUACUUCCCACAUUUUCGUUUCAAAUAAAAUUCAAGAAAAAGAAAGACGACGAAAAAAAAUGACUUAAAAAGACAAGGGACAGAAGCUGGUAACUUAGAUGGAUGGGUUAGGACUAUCUCACUUUCGAAAAAUGUUUAUUUGGUUGAGGUGCGGAGUGGAGUGGAGCUUGUGAUUCUUUGCCCUAUAUGAGAGUUUUUUCGUGACCAAUUAUGGUGAUUGUGUACUUUGUAUACAUGUUUCUUCUCAUAUGGUUGAAAUGGGGGCAUUUGUGAGCUUUAAGGUGGCAGUCUUGAUCCACGACCAUAGCUUUACAUGACUUUAAGGUGAGUUCUUGCCUUGGUUCUACACCGUUGAUUGAAAUGAAUUAUGAAAAUUCCUCAUGAUCCGCCAUUUUUACAUGCUAAGUUUUUUUUUUUUGAAAAAUGCAUGCUUAAGUUGAAACGGUGGUUAUCAACUUGAGGUGCCAUAUUUGUGAUUAAGUGGGCCGUAAGUGCAACGGCGUGGUACUCAAAGAGGAACGGUGGGGUGGGUUUCACAUCGUGAUUGUGAUGUGAGUAUGUAUGUGACCAGAGUCCAGGGCCGGCUCAAAAUUAUUCGAGACCUUGUGCUGAUGUAUAAAAAUUGGUUUUUAAAUAAUAUAGUGAAAAUUUUGGACCCUCAAUCUUAGAGGAAAUUGAAAUUUUUUUUUGAGGACCCUGUGCUUUUGCUCCUCUAGCACACCCUUAGAGCUGGCACUGCCAGAGUCACAAGAUAAUCGUGAGCUGGUCUUACUUGUUGAUCGAGAGGCAGCAUUAACUCAUAUAGAAGAAACCAUGGACCUCCGACCUUGGGAGGUUUUCUUGGAAAUUCUUCCAUGAUGGAAGCUUACCGCAUGAGCAUGAUACAGGUAGAUGCAUGAUGGUUUCGGUUGUUUGCUCGAUCGCUUUCUACCACAAACAUAUCUUGCAUCUAAUUGUUGUUGCCUUGUUGGUUCUCAAAUAUUUACUCUCGAAACAGUAAGAUGUUGUUAGCCAUACGUAAAUCAGAAAUAAAAGUAUAGUUGGCUAAAACUGCAGUGAGUAUAGAAUUAACCGAUAUCAAUUUAUUCAAAUUUCCGUCUCUCUUUUCUUUUGUUGGCUAAUAUAUUAUCAUUUGAAGAUAAUAUAUAGUUUUUCCAAGAAAAGAAUAUUGACAAUUUUUUUGUGGUAAGUGAUUUUAAGAAUGACUCCAGAAUCGACAGGUUACCCAGACAAUAUUUAUCAUGGAUAAACCUAUCGAAAAAUCUUAAAAAUCAGUAUUAAUAAAACGGAAGUAGUAAUGAACUUCUAAGCUAUGCAUUACAAUACAUUUAUCUCAAUGUCGAAUUUAAAUAAUUUUCUUAGAACUCCUUUUUUAAUGCGACCUUAUUCACCAAAUCAAGUGAAGCCAAAUUAAAUCAUGCAUGGUAAAUAAAAUAUCCAAAAGCAUUAAAUUUAAGGUAAUGCGUCUGAUUUCUUUCCUCCCAAACGAAAGGAGCCAAAAGCAACCGAUCAAGUGGAAACCAAUAACCACACAUUCACUUCGUUUCCCCCACAAGAGAAGAUAAGAUAAUGGAGUUUUCUGCCACGUGGCAUUAUCCUAGUGGUCCGUACCGAUAAGGGUGUCAACACCUUUCCUUAAUCCUGUGGCAGUAAACGACGUUAUCAUGAAUUAUGGACCCUUUGAUCAUGAGGGGCUUUUUUCCUGUUGCGGUUCUCACUAUAUAAAGAUGACAAAACCAGUAGACAAACAAGUAAGUAAGAGAAAAGAGCAAAAGAAGAAGAGAAACAACAAGAAGUAGUAAUGGCUUCCUCUAUGCUCUCCUCGGCCGCUGUGGUUACCUCCCCGGCUCAAGCCACCAUGGUCGCUCCAUUCUCCGGCUUGAAGUCAUCCGCUGCUUUCCCGGUCACCCGCAAGGCCAACAACGACAUUACUUCCAUCGCAAGCAACGGGGGAAGAGUUAGCUGCAUGAAGGUAAAGUAAAGUCAUUAAUGAAAGAUGUCUUUUGUCAUGGCAAUUAGUGUAAUUGAACAAAACAUAGAAUAAUUGGAAUUGGAUUCGGGAAUUAUAGGUAUGGCCACCAAUCGGAAAGAAGAAGUUUGAGACUUUAUCUUAC
rnacentral:lncRNA from 1 species